rnacentral:rRNA from 1 species
GGCUACACACGUGCUACAAUGGGUAGUACAGAGAGUCGCAAAGCCGCGAGGUGGAGCUAAUCUCAGAAAACUAUUCUUAGUUCGGAUUGUACUCUGCAACUCGAGUACAUGAAGUUGGAAUCGCUAGUAAUCGCGAAUCAGCAAUGUCGCGGUGAAUACGUUCUCGGGUCUUGUACACACCGCCUGUCACACCACGAGAGUUGGUUGCACCUGAAGUAGCAGGCCUAACCGUAAGGAGGGAUGCUCCGAGGGUGUGAUUAGCGAUUGGGGUGAAGUCGUAACAAGGUAUCCGUACGGGAACGU